CUUUCUCUACCCAGAAGUCCACUUGCCAUACUAAUCACCUCUAGACAUACUUAUCAUUCGAGAGCUGUCCUAUUUUAGCAGCUAGAUAGAGGCAGAGGCAGAACCCAAGCGUGCGGGAGAGAUGGACUCAAACAAGACAUUAACGGAGCCAGAUGUGAGUGUGAUGCCACCAUUAAAAUGGAUGCUGUGAGGAUUACGUACGCGGUUGGAGCAGUGCCUGGAAAGAGCAUCACUCAUUAAUGUUGACCAGUACUGAGGAGUGGAGUUGGUGCUGUGAAGGCUGUUGGCCCUCUAAGACAAUCUCCGUGAGAUGGCCACCUUUCUUGACUUCUUGGCUUUGACUCUAUGAACAGAAAUCAGCUGUCAAUUAAGCCACAUGGGCUCAUAGUAAUUCCCAAUUACUGAGUGUAUGUAAAAAUAACAUACUUAAUAGUCACUUGAACAUCAGGAUCAACUGUAAUGCCUCAGCUCAGUUAAUUAUUUCAAACACUGUAAGACAAGCUACAAACCUAUCAUAGUUACAUUUUUUUCUUUUUAUUGCUAUUUCUUUUUUUUUUUUAAGUUUACUUAUUUAUUUUGAGAGAGAGUGA